UUGAAAAUAAGAUACUAAGGUGCU
rnacentral:piRNA from 2 species